rnacentral:rRNA from 1 species
GAUGAACGCUAGCGGCAGGCCUAAUACAUGCAAGUCAAGGGGAUAGCAAUAUCACCGGCGGACGGGUGCGUAACGCGUACACAACGUGCCCAAGGGCGGAGGAAAGCGGCGGGAAACUGCCGGUAAUACUCCAUGGUGUUGUUGAGUGGCAUCACUUAACAACUAAAGUACAAGCGCCCUUGGAUCGGUGUGCGUUCGAUUAGCUAGUUGGCGGGGUAACGGCCCACCAAGGCUUCGAUCGAUAGGGGGUGUGAGAGCAUGACCCCCCCACACGGGUACUGAGACACGGACCCGACUCCUACGGGAGGCAGCAGUAAGGAAUAUUGGACAAUGGGCGGAAGCCUGAUCCAGCCAUGCCGCGUGAAGGACGAAGGCGCUCAGCGUUGUAAACUUCUUUUGGAGUGGGAACAAUAACUCCGACUUGUCGGAACUUGAGGGUACCAUCAGAAUAAG